rnacentral:rRNA from 1 species
UACGGAGGGAGCUAGCGUUAUUCGGAAUUACUGGGCGUAAAGCGCACGUAGGCGGCUUUGUAAGUAAGAGGUGAAAGCCCAGAGCUCAACUCCAGAACUGCCUUUAAGACUGCAUCGCUUGAAUCCAGGAGAGGUGAGUGGAAUUCCGAGUGUAGAGGUGAAAUUCGUAGAUAUUCGGAAGAACACCAGUGGCGAAGGCGGCUCACUGGACUGGUAUUGACGCUGAGGUACGAAAGCGUGGGGAGCAAACAGG